GUCUUGGUUUGAUGCAGGGAGAGAGAACUCCCACUAAAACGGUGCUGUGUGGGUCCUCCGAACUGUGCAGGACGCCGCACGGGACAAAGAGCACGAGAACACAGCCGGGGGAGGGCUGCAACCCCACCACAUGUAUUCCCAACGCCUCUCCUGAGACUCCGUCACCGCGUUUCGCUAUGGUGCAGCCCCACAGGGAACAACCAGGCAAAAAAGCACGGCAGAUCGCACGACGGAGGGCGAGAAGCGAAGGCGCUCGGAAACUCUGGACACCGAAGGCGGAGGGGCCGCACCGCCAUCUCUCAGCCGCGCGGGUGCUUUGCCGCUCGGAUCUGUGCCCGAGGCCCGGCCCAACCCGAGAUCUGUUUUCUGAAGGCUGCUCCUUCCCCGGAUCUGCUCCUCUCCGGAAAAACACAGCAGCAUCGCCCCCUGCCUCCCGCCGGGGCGCCGCGCCGCAGCCAACGCGGGCGGUGCGCGCAUCCCUGCCCACCGCGCCGCCUUUCACUGCUGUAUCUUCCCCACCCAACGGACCUUCUGAAGGGGACGCAUUUCGGCGUGCCUUUUGUUAUUCAUAACGCUCCCUUGAACGACACGCACAGGUCCUUCCCUGGACCAAAUCAUGAGACGGGGUUCUUGAGGAUGGAAAAAGCCACAUCCGUGGCUGCUGCUGCCUGAAGUUUGUUCUGCAGUGCUUUUCUCGCUGUGAUUACGGAGACACAGCGAAGCUGGAUCUUCACAGGUGCUUUAAAGUGUGUUCAGA